GCUGGUUUACCCAAUAGUUGCGAUUGUUCAAAGUUUUGAUAAUUGUUUUGUGUUCCAUAUCAGUUGUUAUUCUGCCUUUACAAGUUAGUCUGACUUUGCAAGUCUUUUAGGACACCUAAAUGACUUGUCACAAUUUUUCAGAACAUCUGAUGAGACUUAUUUCCUUGGUUUGUCUCUGAAUUGACAAUGUCCAUAUUGAGACAUGUACAUCUUAA
rnacentral:lncRNA from 1 species